UAGGGCGUAAAGCGCGGCGUAGGCGGGACUAGGUAAGGUUAGAGGUGAAAUCCCGGGGACCUCAACCCGGAACUGCCUUUAAUAACUGGCAACUAGAGUUCGAGAGAGGUGAGUGGAAUUCCGAGUGUAGAGGUGAAAUUCGUAGAUAUUCGGAGGAACACCAGUGGCGAAGGCGGCUCACUGGCUCGAUACUGACGCUGAGGUGCGAAAGUGUGGGGAGCAAACAGGAUUAGAUACCCUGGUAGUCCACACCGUAAACGAUGAAUGCCAGUCGUCGGGUAGCAUGCUAUUCGGUGACACACCUAACGGAUUAAGCAUUCCGCCUGGGGAGUACGGUCGCAAGAUUAAAACUCAAAGGAAUUGACGGGGGCCCGCACAAGCGGUGGAGCAUGUGGUUUAAUUUCGAAGCAACGCGCAGAACCUUACCAACCCUUGACAUCCUGUGCUACAUCCAGAGUAUGGAUGGUUCCCUUCGGGGACGCAGUGACAGGUGCUGCAUGGCU
rnacentral:rRNA from 1 species